UGAGGACAAUGCAGCCUCUUAAGACAGGUUUGAUAGUAUUUCCUGCUAUUCAAUAACAAAAGUGCAAGAAAACUUGUCAGUAAUUCUUUAAAUGCUUUAAGAUUUCAUCAGUAAAGCUGUCUCUAAAACCCCGAGGUUUUCCCUAUUGAACGGAAAGUAACAACUCAGUAACUUUCAAAGUUAUUGGUCUGUUUGGAUAGUCUAUUUCCUUUUGAAUUAAUAGCUUGUACAUUUUGGGAAAUCACAUAUUUCUCUAUUUCUAACAAAUUAUUCAGUUUGUUGGUAUGGAAUUUUUCAUGGAUGUCUAUUAGGAUUCUUCAGAUCUGCCAUGUUAAGUGUAAUGACUUGUACUUUAAUAUGCCUUUAUUUCUUCUCUGCGUCUUUGCUGAUGAAGAGUGUUCUGUUUGUUUUUCAUGUUUGUUUCCUUCAGCAAUUAAUUGAUUAAUACCCAAAUAUUGUACUAUUUUGGCCAGAAAAAUACAUUAGUUAAAUAUAAUCCUCAAUUCAUUGACAUUUUGGGCCCCAGCGUCCCAUGAGCAUUGAGAAGAACUUGUCUCCAGCUGUUACUGAACUCGAUGUUAUGUGUCUACCACAGCCAUCAAGCCUGCAGAGUUUUCCUGUGUCCUUGAUGAACUGCAGUGCAGAUGUUUCUUGUUCAUUACUCUCUACAUCAAUGGAUGACUGCCAUCAAGCACCCUGAGCUCCUCUUUGACCAGAACAGCAAAAUAAAGCAGGCUAAAGUCAUCA
rnacentral:lncRNA from 1 species